CAAAUACCAAAUAUAGGCGAGCGGGUUCGAUUCUAACACCGAGGGUACAGUACUUGGAGAUCGGAUCCCAGGAAGUGAAAAUUUCUUUGGCACAUCGCGCCUAAUCCCGACGCAGGUCACGGCUCGACCCGGUCGCAGGAAAAAGCUGACAAGAGAAAAAGCACCGCCACCACCACCACCACCACCACCGUCCUGAGAAACCAAAAUGCGACAGGGACAGACGCUGGCAUCUUUUCUCCAACCUCCCACCCCACCCCCGUCUUGCACGAAAACGCACAAGAACCUCUACCGCCUAGCCCCCCGACUGUGCAAUUUACCCCGGCAAUGGAAAAAGCAAAGAGGGGGGGAGCGCGCUCUUCUUUUUCAGCGUCGUCGUCGUCAUCAUCAUGAAGAUUAUAGCCAGAGAGGUGAGGACAGCCCCAUCAAAGGGCCUGCUUUGAUGUCGUGCUUUCGGGGCUCAUCCGAUCGCGCCCUCCCCCCCGUUGCCGCAAAUGGAAAUGUAAUAAUCAUCGGUUUGCUGUAGGUUGGGAUGAAAGGCGAAGGGGAGUGGAUGACAGGCAGAGAGACCACGCGGAUUUCGUCGACUCCCGGAACCCAGUACCUCCCGUUGAGUGGUGUCCAGGAGGCUAUGAAUUUGUACUGCUGUUUUUCAUUUUGGGUUUCAAUGGGAUCUUCUGCUGUUGAUGCUGAA